GGCAGCAGCCGCGGUAACACCGGCGGCCCGAGUGGUGAUCGUGAUUAUUGGGUCUAAAGGGUCCGUAGCUGGUUUGGUCAGUCCUCCGGGAAAUCUGAUAGCUCAACUAUUAGGCUUUCGGGGGAUACUGCCAGACUUGGAACCGGGAGAGGUAAGAGGUACUACAGGGGUAGGAGUGAAAUCUUGUAAUCCCUGUGGGACCACCUGUGGCGAAGGCGUCUUACCAGAACGGGUUCGACGGUGAGGGACGAAAGCUGGGGGCACGAACCGGAUUAGAUACCCGGGUAGUCCCAGCCGUAAACGAUGCUCGCUAGGUGUCAGGCAUGGCGCGACCGUGUCUGGUGCCGCAGGGAAGCCGUGAAGCGAGCCACCUGGGAAGUACGGCCGCAAGGCUGAAACUUAAAGGAAUUGGCGGGGGAGCACGACAACGGGUGGAGCCUGCGGUUUAAUUGGACUCAACGCCGGACAACUCACCGGGGGCGACAGCAAUAUGUAGGCCAAGCUGAAGACUUUGCCUGAAUCGCUGAGAAGUGGUGCAUGG
rnacentral:rRNA from 1 species